rnacentral:rRNA from 1 species
CCAUGCAUGUCUAAGUAUAAAUUCUUGUACGAUGAAACUGCAGACGGCUCAUUACAACAGUGAUAAACUGCUAGACUUUCGGGUUUUUAACCUUUUGGAUAACCGCAGUAAAUCGGGGCUAAUACAUAGAAGCGAUGGGUGACUGGCAACGGAAGCUCAGCGAUUAUUAGCAUUACUACCAAUACCUUCGGGUCUUGUGGUGAAACCGAAUAAUAUUGCAGAUCGAGGAUUUAUCUUCGACAAGUCUACUGUGUCACUGCCCUAUCAACUUUCGAUGGUACGGUAUUGGCCUACCAUGGUUGUAACGGGUAACGGGGAAUUAGGGUUCGAUUCCGGAGAGGGAGCCUGAGAAAUGGCUACCACUUCUACGGAAGGCAGCAGGCGCGCAAAUUACUCAAUCCCAAUACGGGGAAGUAGUGACAAUAAAUAUCAAUACCUAUCCUUUUUGGAGGGCAAUUGAAAUGAACACAAAUUAAAACUCUUAAUUAACACAAUUGGAGGGCAAGUCUGGUGCCAGCAGCCGCGGUAAUUCCAGCUCCAAUAGCAUAUACUAAAGUUGUUGCAGUUAAAAAGCUCGUAGUUGAAGUUAAAGUUAUAUUGGGCUAAAGUUUUUUACCACUAUGUGGCUAAAAUAACUCCAAUAUUUCUUUUUUUAAUAGCUCAGUUUCUAGGUCUUUGACUCUAGUUAUUUGGGCAUUUCACUGUGAGAAAAUUGUGGUGUUUAAAGCAGGCGUCUCGUCUGAUCUUUUGCAGCAUGGUAUGAUGGAACAUGACAUUUUACG